rnacentral:tRNA from 8 species
GCCGGUGUAGCUCAGUUGGUAGAGCAUCUGAUUUGUAAUCAGAGGGUCGUAAGUUCAAGUCUUAUCUCCGGCUCCA